UUUGGCACCGCCCUCUUUGGGACCCCAUUCAUGGUUUUCUCCAGUGUGGGUUGGCAUCCAGUUUGUGAACCAGAAAAUUCCAUCUAGUGAAGAUGAUUGCGUUUAGUGAGAGUUACAACUGCUAAUCGCUGGUUGAUCUGGUUGUCCGACUGCUUUCCGAGGAUUGAGAGGGUUAAGUUCAUGGGUAUGACUGCGCUGCUGUUUUGCCUCUGACAAUAACCUUGUGGUUCGCUCUGACUUCAACCCGUCAACCUCGUUUUACCCCGUGUACUGGUAUUUCAGUCGGCAGCUUUGUUUGGUUUUACGUGCACUCUUCCCUCUCCUGAGGCGUUUAACAGCGAGUCACAUAGUCGAUGUUUUAGUUUGUUUCUUUAUCUAUGUGAUGUUGUUACUUAUCUCAGUACUUCUCUGUGUAUUUCGUUUGUUUUUUUUUUUUGUUUUUUUUGAGUUAUGUGAUUUUAAUAUCAUUAGUUUUCCCUUGGAUAUGUUUGAAUGGAAGUAUGCAUUAUUAAAUCUGCACGUACAAAAAUUGUAUUAGUGAUAGUAACUCUAGUAAAUCUGCAUGUACUAACUAUCGCCAAUUGAUACCAUCUCAUACUUUCAACAAGUAGGUUUUUCGCUCUCUUUUGAAUCUGGGCUAUUCGAGUUAAUUAUUGAUUAGUUUUGUUAUUGUUUGAUUUAUAUUGUGAGUAUAUUUAAUUUAAAUUGAGAGAUUUCUGUUUUGUUUUGGUUUUGUAAUGUUUAUUUUGUUUUUGCAUUUAAUUCUUUUGUUGUGUUUAAGUUUACUUUUGAUAUAAUUAUGUUGGGCGGGUCGUCUUUGAGAGGGAGGAAGUAAUUACUGGACCUAUUGAGGGUGACGUGUACCUUCCACACGUGUGAGUGGCGUGGUUUGAUACUGUGCUGUAGCUGGGUCCGGUGUUAUCUCCUCUUUCUCCUUGAAAGGCCUAGUCAUUUCAAGUAUGUUUUCUGUUCGGUGUGUUUGAUUUUGUUAUUAGUGACGGAAGAUUUUAUAUUCUUUUUGAAAAUCUUAAUCCUGCACAAACUGUAACAAUAAAGGUUUACUGUGUUAUUCUCUUGCUGAUCACCAUUAGGUAACGAACCUGUGUCCUUGAGGCACUGUUCCCCUUAUAAGGGGUGGCGUAGUUGAAUGUGGUGCCCCUACGGGCCUUUUGUGGCGUUGUAUAAAUCUUGGUAUAACCUAGAAUUGUCACUCUCCCCCCUACCGCUCUGCUACAACAGGAAAGACUCAGUUUCUCCAGGUUUUUUCACCACUGAACCAGUGGAAAUAGACUCAAGACUCUGACACCUGCCACAUAAAAAAGAAAACAUGAGUGUAUUUAAAAAUAAAUAAUAAGAUGCAUUCCGGAUUCAGCAUGAGAACUCACC